UGUAGAUUAAAAAAAAAUUACCGCUUGAAGAUGCAUUAACAAAGCUUCAAGAAUCCCAACUACUCUAAAGAAAUUGAAGAAUUAGAAUGUCUAUAGCAAAUUGUACCCAACUUAAUUUGUCAAUGGACUCAAUAGAGAACAUGGCUAUAGCUUAUGCAAGCAUUGAACAUGUGAUGAACUUGUUUGUCUAAGCAAUGAAUGUGACUAAAUUUUUUUGACACUCCAAAUAAUGUGUUCUACUUCACAAAAUUACUACCAAAUCUCUGAAGUUACGAGGAAAUUGUGAAUUUGAGAUGUUCUUUUGGUCCUUGUUGCAGUGACUACAGUGGAGAACGGGCAGAAGGCAUUGGAAUUGUAGGGCUCGGUGGAGGAACAAUACAGCAAGAAUCAAGAGUAGGCAGUACUUUGACAAAUAUUCUCUUCAUCCAUGUACCCUUGAUUUUCUGAAGCUACUACAGCCAAACACCAUGAAGAAACAUACAAUAUGAGGCUCCAUACCUCUUUCACAGUCCAUGCUCAUAAUUAUUUAUACUCUAGUCAUUAAUGUUCGGGAGAAAGAUUAGUAACUUGUUCGCCUCCAUGGGAAAAAGAAAAUAGCAGGUUAUAUUUGGCAUUAUAUAUUUAUGGUUGGAAAAAUAGUGUCACCAAUGGGUCAAUUCAGUGCAUGUGAUUUUUUAUCACCAGUCCAUCAUUCAAUGCCUGUGAUCAGCACAAUUUGUUGUAUAACAUGUCAUCUUUUAGAACUUUGUGCAUUUAUACACUGAGCUUUGAUUCGAUAUGGCAGGAACUUGAUCAUUACUGAUUACUGCAUAUCAAGGAUGACAGGACACGAUCUACUCAAAAGGGUGAAGGGAUCCUCUAAUUUGAAAGAGAUACCUGUGGUCAUCAUAUCAUCCGAGAACAUCCCACCUGAUACAAGAAGUGCUUGGAAGAAGGUGCUCAAGAAUUUAUGCUAAAGCCUAUCAAACAAUCAGAUGUUAAGAAAUUGAGAUGUCAUAUGACCAAAGUAACCAAAUCAUGUAGUGGAUG